rnacentral:rRNA from 1 species
UACAGAGGUCUCAAGCGUUUUUUUUUUUUUUUUGUCGGAAUUUACUGGGCGUAAAGGGGUGCGCAGGCCGCGCGGGCAGUCAAAUGUGUAAUUUCAGGGGGCUCAACCCCUGCACUGCGCUUUAUACUUCCGCGCUCGAGCUUUUUUUUGGAGAGGAGUCUGGGAAUUCUCGGUGUAGCAGUGAAAUGCGUGGAUAUCGAGAAGAACACUUUAGGGCGAAGGCAAGACUCUGGACAAAAU